UAAAGUUUUGCUUUGAUUGUGAAUAAUUAAUAUUGUGAAAUUAAUUCUACAAUAUUUUCCUCUAUGAACAUUCUUUCCAUAUAGUGACUAUGUUAACCUUCUUGAAAAUGAAGAAAACUUGUCUGAAAAUUCCGAUAUUCAAGAAGCAAUUAGCAGAUCAUUGAUGGAAGAGACACUUAAAAGCCAGCACAUUAAAGGAAAAUGGCUAUUUUUUUGUGGGUCAACUGAUAGCAAUGUCUGUUGUGCAUGGGGGGCAAUCACCAUGCUUUUUCUCCCCAAUUCUUUAUAAAUCCUUGGUCCAGAAAAUACUGAAGCAGAAGUUGAGGAUAUUCUUGAUAUUGAUAUUCGUAAUCAACUUAUAGAGAUAAAAACAGCUACAUCAGACACACAAUUGCAAUUGGCUAUCAUUAGAGCAUCCUGC